CAAGUCGAACGGGAUCCAUUGGUGCUUGCACUUUUGGUGAGAGUGGCGAACGGGUGAGUAACACGUGAGUAACCUGCCCUUUUCUUUGGGAUAAGCCUGGGAAACUGGGUCUAAUACUGGAUGUUCCGGCUUCCUCGCAUGGGGUUGUUGGGAAAGGUUUUUUCUGGAUUGGGAUGGGCUCGCGGCUUAUCAGCUUGUUGGUGGGGUGAUGGCUUACCAAGGCUUUGACGGGUAGCCGGCCUGAGAGGGUGGUCGGUCACACUGGGACUGAGAUACGGCCCAGACUCCUACGGGAGGCAGCAGUGGGGGAUAUUGCACAAUGGACGCAAGUCUGAUGCAGCGACGUCGUGUGGGGGAUGAAGGCCUUCGGGUUGUAAACUCCUUUCGCCUGCGGAAAAGGCAGGGUUUUGGCCUUGUUGAUGGUAGUGGGUAAAGAAGCGCCGGCUAACUACGUGCCAGCAGCCGCGGUAAUACGUAGGGCGCGAGCGUUGUCCGGAAUUAUUGGGCGUAAAGGGCUCGUAGGCGGUUUGUCGCGUCUAGCGUUUAAGGCUCGGGCUUAACCCGGGUUUGCGUUGGGUACGGGCAGGCUUGAGUGCGGUAGGGGUAACUGGAAUUCCUGGUGUAGCGGUGGAAUGCGCAGAUAUCAGGAGGAACACCGGUGGC
rnacentral:rRNA from 1 species